rnacentral:lncRNA from 1 species
GUAAACAUAUCCAUAUCAUGAGAAAUCAUCAAUGAAAAUUAUGAAAUAUUUAUUCCCACCUAUAGUGGAAGGCAAAGGUCCACUGAUAUCAGUGUGAAUUAAGUCCAAAAUUUCAUUACUCCUAGUCGAACCCUUCAUCGUAGACUUAGUUAACUUCCCUCUUAUACAAUCUACACAGGUGUCAAAAUCGAAAAAGUCUAAGGAGGGAAGUAUCUCAUCUUUUACUAAUCUUUCCAUUCCAUCCUUAGAUAUAUCACUAAAACAUUUAUGCUACAACAUAGAGGAUGAUUCACUAAUUAAAGUUCUUUUCUUUGAUACAUUGGUAACACAUGAGACAUCAUCAAAAGGAGCCAAAGAUAAUUUAUAUAAACCAUCACAUAAAAUGUCAUUUCCAAUCAUACGAAAAUCAUUAAAUAACUUAACCAUUCCAUUACCAAAAUUAAAUGUAAAACCACAAGCAUCAAGUUUCGGUAUAGAAAUUAAAUUCCGUCUUAUCUGCGAUACAUAAACUGUAUUUUCCAAAACAAGAUAAAAAACCAGACUCUAAAACCAACUUCACUACUCUAUGAAUUCAACCUUCACUUGAAAUCCAUUUGCAACGCUCAAGCUUACUUCAUUCUCACUUGGCCUCCGUUUGCUUCUGAACCCUGUGAACCCCUGGAGAACUCUUCUUCUUUUUCAACCAGGUCUUGAAUUUAAAACAGUCUUUCUGUUAGUUACCUUUCCUUUUACAGAACUUGUAUUGAUCAUUUUUCUUUACAACUCCUUUGGGACCACUAAAAUUUUUAUUCUGCUGACUUCGGUGGGACUUAUUACCCUUACGAAACUUAUGUUUAUGAUUAUGAGAAGGCCCCUUAUUCUGUGAUGGAUGAAAAGCUAAUUGCACAGUUUCACAGCGCAUCCUAUACUCUUCUUGGGCACACACUGCUAUGAGGUCAUUCAAAUUUCAUUUAUCCCGCUGAGCAUUGUAAGCAACCUUAAGUUGAUUAAACUUGCUAGGAAGGCUAUUUAAAACAUGAUAGACCAGGAAAGGCUUCGCAAUGAGAAUGUCAAGAGCCUUUAGCUUAGAUGAUAUAUUUAUCAUUUUCAUGACAUGCUCUCUAACACCACUUGUAUCAUCAUAUUUCAUGCUCAUUAGUUUAUCCAUCAGAUCCCCAGUUUUAGCUUUAUCAGACUCAAUAAAUUUUUUUCAUAUGGCAUUCAUAAAACUUUUGGUAUUUUCAUUAUCAAGGAUGUCAUCUAGAAUGGAAUCAGAUAUCGAUCGCUUAAUGAUUUUCAAACAGAGUUUGUUAGCCCUUUCCCACUUUUCAUGCUCGGCUACAUAUUCAACGAUACUCUUAUCUGUGGGUUUCUCAAGCUUUUUUUCCAUUGCAAAAUUCAAGCCCAAAAAAUCAAGUGUUAUUUCUACGUCUCGUUUCCAUCUCACAUAGUUAUUCCCAGUCAAAGUUUCAAUAGCAGACAAUUGAUUCGAGAGAGAUGAGGUAUUAUAAACUGUGGAAACAUAAAAUAUCAUACUCAUCCAAACAUAUGCAUGCAAUUAAAUGGAUGAUGUAAUAUCCAACUAAUUAAUAUGGGUUAUUAAUUAGAUAAUUCGUAAUUUAAAUCGAAACAUAUGAAUUUUAUUACAGUAAGAGCCUAGGUGCAUCAUUAUAAAAUUACCUUUAGGUCGACAAUACAACAUGCUAUAAGGUACUCUUAAAACAUAUCAUGUGGCCAGUUAACAAAAUUACACUGGUUUUCGAAACACCAACACUUUUAGACAGAAGGAAAUUUCUAGACCAAAAUAAGCUCGUUAAUUGUCUUAUACUAUUUUCUAAAAAUAUUACAUAUAAUAACCCUUUGGGCAAGAUAUAAUAUGCAAUAAAUCAAAAUUGUUGCGCAAAAUACUUAUAUUUUUAUUGUAGAGAAAAUCAAAUAAAUAAUAAUGAGUGUGCCACUUUGGCAUCUACCACCCAUUUUUAUUUCAAAAUAUUUUUCUUUGUAGGGGACAAAUAAGGAUCGUCUCAAAACUCAUAAAAAUUCAAUCACAAGACAAUAAUUACGCAAAAAAUAAUCGAUAAAAGACAGAUUCAUAUGUGAUUGAGAGACGAAAUUAACAACAAAAUUUCAAAAAAUGAAAUUUAAAUGCAUAAAUAAUGGCAAUAUUUAAAUACGUAUACAAUUUAAUGAAAAAUAUAAAGUCGUCCAUCAAAUUAUUAUUAUUAUUUAAUAUAUUUUAAUCGGGUCAAUUAUCAAUUAAAGUUUUAAUUUGGUCAAAAAUAAAAUUUUAGGGUCAAAAGUUUAGAAGUUCAAAUUUAAGAGCCCUUUAUUGAAAAUUACAUUUUAAUACUAAACACAAAUUAAAAUCAGGUCCAUCAUAUUUAAAAUUGCAUGGCAGGUCCUUAUUUAAGUAAUUACAAUAUGACCCCAACUGAUAAUUGCAAAUAGGGGUUUGAAGAUUGGUUAUUUACGGCAGAAGCCCCCGCCUACCUUUGGCCGAUUUUUCCCACAAAAAUUGAAUUUUUUUUCUUGCACUGGCGGCACCUGCCGGCGCUUUAACCCAUGCGGCAGCAACAUGCUACCGCCGAUCAACUUAUGUAAAAAAUAAUUUAUUUAUUUAUUAUUAUUAUUAUUUUAUUUUUUUGAUAAUCACCAUAGACAAAAACUCACACACAAAUUCAAUUGAAGAUUCAAAUUAGAAAGGUUAUACUAUAAAUCAAUUAAGCAGAGUCACACAUUAUAUAUAUUUCUUGCAUUUGAGAUGAUUUCCUCAAGAAAAUCAAUGCUACAUAUUUAUCAAGCUUAU